rnacentral:rRNA from 1 species
UGAGGAAUUUUGCGCAAUGGGGGCAACCCUGACGCAGCAACGCCGCGUGAGUGAUGAAGGCCUUCGGGUCGUAAAGCUCUGUCGAGUGGGAAGAAACCGCUCAGUUUAAUAAACUGAGUCUUGACGGUACCACUAAAGGAAGCACCGGCUAACUCCGUGCCAGCAGCCGCGGUAAUACGGGGGGUGCAAGCGUUAUUCGGAAUUAUUGGGCGUAAAGGGUGCGUAGGCGGUUUUGUAAGUCAGAUGUGAAAUCCCGGGGCUUAACUUCGGAACUGCAUUUGAUACUGCAAGACUUGAGUAUGGGAGAGGGAAGCGGAAUUCCUGGUGUAGAGGUGAAAUUCGUAGAUAUCAGGAGGAACACCUGUGGCGAAGGCGGCUUCCUGGACCAAUACUGACGCUGAGGCACGAAGGCGUGGGGAGCAAACA